rnacentral:rRNA from 1 species
CGGCGGACGGGUGAGUAACACGUGGGUAACCUACCUAUAAGACUGGGAUAACUUCGGGAAACCGGAGCUAAUACCGGAUAACAUUUGGAACCGCAUGGUUCUAAAGUGAAAGAUGGUUUUGCUAUCACUUAUAGAUGGAUCCGCGCCGCAUUAGCUAGUUGGUAAGGUAACGGCUUACCAAGGCAACGAUGCGUAGCCGACCUGAGAGGGUGAUCGGCCACACUGGAACUGAGACACGGUCCAG